GUACUGCUGAGGAGUCCCAGACUAAGACAAAACAGCUGUCCAGUAC
rfam:Trichobilharzia regenti genome assembly, scaffold: TRE_scaffold0000417